rnacentral:rRNA from 1 species
GCCGUCCCCUUCCCGUCCGGCCACUCAGAUCCUACGGAGGGCAGCAGUGGGGAAUAUUGGACAAUGGGCGAAAGCCUGAUCCAGCCAUGCCGCGUGAGUGAUGAAGGCCUUAGGGUUGUAAAGCUCUUUCAGUGGGGAAGAUAAUGACGGUACCCACAGAAGAAGCCCCGGCUAACUUCGUGCCAGCAGCCGCGGUAAUUC